AUGAUCCGCGACGGUGAUCGGCUGGAUGAGGAGUGCAAGGGCCGGACGGUCUACCUUGUGGCAUGCCACUGGGACUUGUCUAUGUGUACCACGCCGUACAACGUGUACAAGAUGGACCUCGCUUCCUCUUCCUCGUCGGCAAUGGCGAAGCGUCUGCACGCAGCCGGCAGCCUGCGCGCCCACGCGGGCGGCAAGUCCUUCAUCUCCUUGCGGUCGAGGCGCCGCUCGUGGAUCGUCGGCGUCGGGGGCGACUCGGGCGAGGUCAUAAUCUUCGACACCAAGUCGGCGAAUCCGGAUAAGGCUGUCAUCCACGGGCCGAACCUCAUGUCCGCCAAGCGGUGCCCUGUCCUCACGGCCGUGGGUGACAAGAUUUAUGCGUUCUGCAAGAGACCCUCCUGGACAUCAGAUCCCGACUUCCCGCCAUGGUUCGAGGUGCUUGAUGUUUCCAAGGCCAGAGUAGUCAGCGACGGCGGCCUCCAGCGCCUCAAGGGGUGCUCCUGGAGCAGCCUACUGAUUCCGCCGUGCAUCCCAUGGAAGCUCAAACCUUGGGAGUACUACAUCUCUCUGCCGUGAGUAUCUACGCUUGAGACCCACGAGGAAACACUGCUAGCUGUGAAGUCGGUGGUUGCAAUCUCCAGCAAGUUGGAACAUCGCUUCAAGAUUAAAGAUGCUAGCAGCGGCGACAUUGUCUGCAGGUUUGGGUUUAUUUUGGUUGGGUGUGUGCAGACGGGGAGCGCACCAGAGCAGAGUUCAGUUCUUGCAGAAGCUGCACAUUGGAGAUAUCAGGAGACUGAACGCAUCCUGCCAGAAGAGACGUCGUCAUUGCCAUCUCUCCCCGCCAAGGCGUUCAACCCACACCUUCCUCUCAGCACCGCCUCCCCUUCCCUCCAUGGCGUCUCCCUUCUCCUCCUCUCCCCUCUUCGAUGUCCCAGAUCCCCUCCGCCUCCAUCCCCCGCUGCGUGCGCCACGCCGGCGGCCGCGUGGCCGCCGCUCCCGGUCUCGCGCCGCUGCCCUCCCCCCCAGUCCAGCGAGCUCGCCGACGAAUCUCGUAUCCAUCAUAUCGCCGUCGCCGGCCGCAUCCCGUCCCAGCCCACCUGCCCGCCGAUGGCCUUCUCCUCGUUCCCAUGGCUGUUCCGCCGCCGAGCCGGCGGCAGCGGCAGCGGCGGAACCGGCCCAAGCAAACCCUCCGCCGCGGAGGGGAAGGAGGAGGACGCGGAGGAGCUCAGCGUCACGCCACAGCUCCUUGACUUCAUCCGGACACUCUCCCCCGACGCCUUCAAGUCCUUCCCCUCCAGCUCCACCAAGGCACCCCCUCCUUCCUCCCUUCUCGGUUUCGCUCCCCUACUAGUUCCCUCUCGAUUACUGGCGGUGCUAUGCUUUGUCGCAGGAGGAUCCGCGGAGUCGGCGGCCGAGCUCUUGGACUGGCAGCAGCGGCACGCCAUCCUCGUUCUCGCCAGAGCCAAGGAACUCGCUAAGGUCCGCUAUGAUCUGUGCCCACGCCACAUGAAGGACAAGCAGUUCUGGACAUACAUCUUGUCGUCCAGCCUGAUUCAAGCUUCCUGGACAUCCACAAGGCAUGCCUUGGCCGCCAUUGAGCAGAAUGCCGCUGGUGGCCGCAGCGGCGACGGAGUGCCGUCUCAGUGGACAAGGGAGUAUCAAGCGAGGCAUCAUCAUCAACACGAGCGAAGUCUUGUUACAGCUGUUGUUCUUGGCCUGAGCAGCAACUCUAUAUUGGCUCAGGAUGAUUUGGUUGCUCCAGCAGCUACAAGUGAGCAAGCUGAUGUAAAUGUGAGGAGUUUAAUAUACUUACUCGGCAACAUGGAAAGUUUCCACAUUUGUUCUAGCUGUCUCAAUGGGUUAGCGACUUAG
rnacentral:rRNA from 1 species